UGAGAAAUUAUUUCACUAACUGCGCACAUGGCGCACGUAGGUAAGACACAGCGCUUGAAGACCGCUUGUCAUCUCAGCGCUACUUACGUUUCCUACAAGAAGAGCUGCCGUUGAUGUUGGAAGAAGUUCCUGUGCUAACCAGUUUCCAGACCGUUGGAUUGGCCGAGGUGGUCCAUUUGCUUGGCCAGCGAUAUCACCAGAUCUUUUGCCUUUGGACUACUUUCUCUGGGUCACAUAAAAUACCUGGUAUAUGUCAUCAAGUCAAACAAUAGGGCUGAGCUGCAGAAUUGAAUAAUGGACUCCGGUGAUAACGUCAAAAAUGAUCAUGAUUCUUUAAAUGCACGAAGGGCUCAACUGCCAUUUCGAGUCACGUAAAUAACGACUCCUUGGAUGAGGGAUCGGCUCGUCACAAGGCCUCUACCUGUACACUGGACAACACAACACAGAAAAACAUCCAUGGCUUGAGUGGGAUUUGAACUCACAGUCCCUGCAACAAAGCAGCACAAGAACCACGCCUUAGACCGCGCGGCCACUGCGGACCCCUACUAGUUGAUUAUAUACUCUAUUUUCAGAUACAAGCAAAUAUCAACUUAAAAUAAAAUAUGGCCAACAGCCAGCAAAAUUAUCUAAUUACUUAUCAGUUGUGCAGAGUCCUUGUCUUCAAAAUCACUACAAUAUGUUGUGGACCUUAUCUUCCAGUAAAAUUUUCCUCCAUUCUUCACGGUCCUUAGUCACUGUAUGUCAGCUCUUCAACCUCAGAUGGCUGUCUUGUGUGUUAUAUUGCCAUUCCUUCUAUCUUUCAUUUUAGUUAUCAUUAUGUUUUUAGGCAUUCUUUCAUUAUUCAACCAGUCAAGAUGACCACAUCAUCUCAAUCUGAAAGAUUUUAUAUAUGUUUUGAUAUCUGCCCCUUCUAAUAUACCCGCCAUUUCCAUAUUAGUUCUUAUUCUCCAAUUUUCUCCUUCAUUUAUGGGUUUAUAGACUUUUUUAAUAAUCUUUAUUUUAUAUAUUCGAAGGAUCUAAAUUUCUUGUGAAGUAAUUGUCCAAGUUUCCAACCCAUAACUUAGAAUAGGUCUUAUUAGAGUUUUGUAUAUUUUUAAUAUAGUGUUUUGGGGAAAACGUUUAGUGCGUACAUAAUAUGCAUGGUUUGCUGUCAUAAUUUUAAAAUGAAUGUCUUUCCACAUUUUAUUUUGAUUGUGUAUAACUAAUUCCAAAUAUUAGUUUUCUCUUCAUUAAUUUAUAGUCCCAUUUUUCUUCUCUCAGUUUCCAAUGCAGGUAAUAAUUAUUUUAAUUCUAGAAUAUUUCUUGCAACCAUGACAAAAUCAUCAGCAUAAGCACAAAUUUGUUUGUAUUUGUGAACAAUAUUUUCUUUUUCUGCAGUUACUUUUAAGACAAUAUUUAGUGCCACAUUAAAUAGUGCUGCUGAUAGUGCAUCUCCCUGUCUUACUACUGUUAAUAUAUU